ACAGCAGUCGCCGCGGGAAUACGAAGGGUGCAAGCGUUACUCGGAAUUACUGGGCGUAAAGCGUGCGUAGGUGGUGGUUUAAGUCCGUUGUGAAAGCCCUGGGCUCAACCUGGGAAUUGCAGUGGAUACUGGGUCACUAGAGUGUGGUAGAGGAUAGUGGAAUUUCCGGUGUAGCAGCGAAAUGCGUAGAGAUCGGAAGGAACAUCUGUGGCGAAGGCGACUAUCUGGGCCAACACUGACACUGAGGCACGAAAGCGUGGGGAGCAAACAGGAUUAGAUACCCCUGUAGUCCCUGUCUCUUAUAC
rnacentral:rRNA from 1 species